GGAGCACAAGCUGACCAUCUUCUCAGUCUGCUGGCUUUCUGAAUGAAGUCAUUAUUCCUUGCCCCAACAACUUGUCUCUCGAUUAUCAGCCUGCCAUGCGUGCUUUAUCUUCAAGAAGAUUCAUAGGAAGGAUGUUUUAACAAGUACAGAUCUCUGUUCUGAGGGGAGGACCUGGGAGCAGUGGGGCCACUGCAUCUUGGCGGAACCUGAAGUCAGCAAGUAUUUCCUGAAUUGCUACUGUGAGCAGGCACAGG